GUGCGGGCCCUGUGCAACGGAACACCGUGAACCAUGUCAGGCGGGGAACCGAGCAGCAUUAAGCGGAACGUUCUGUGUGCCGCAGUCAGCCUGCACACC
rnacentral:SRP_RNA from 1 species